AAUAAGGAACCAACCCAGGAAUAGGGAGUUAGGCUGGAGGUCAGUUCCAAGAAAGGGGAAUUUAGAAAGCUGUUCCAGAAAGACAUAUGUUGAUGGUUUUAACACGAAAAGGGAAAUGGGAGGGAUAUUGGAUGGUUCCAGAAUGUCAGGGAUGGGCAUACUGCUAAGGUAUAAAGCCUGCCUCAAAGAUCUGGGUGUUACCAUUUGGCCACAGCCAUCACAUUUAAUGACUGCUGUCCAUUUGGUCCUUAUUGCAAUAAGUUGUUGAAAUUUUUGGUGCGUUGGCCAGGAAGAGACAAAAGAAAGAGGUCUUGUGUUCCACAGAAGCAUCUGCCCAUCUCCAGGUUUGGACCCUAGACAAUCAGCUUGUGCUCCAUCUCCAUGUACCCACACUACACUUUGGAUCAGAGGUAAGGAGGUACCUCUUCCUUGGGACCCCCUUUUGUGCCAUCUCCAGUUUUGGCAGCAUGGGAAGGGACACAACCAUACAUGUUAGGAGAUAGCAAGGUGUAUGUGUAAAGGUUGUUGUGCUCUUAGUCCAGUGAUGGCGAACCUUUUAGAGACCGAGUACCCAAACUGCAACCCAAAACCCACUUAUACAUUGUCGGGUGCUGGGUGGGUGUUGCCCAUUGGGUGAGCGUGCCUGCGGUGGUAACAACAGACCGGGUGGAACUAAAAAGUUCAAUCAAUCAAUUCCAACUUGCAAGAUCUUUUUUUUUCCCACAAGAAGUUGAAAUUGACUGAUUGAACCUUUUUUUUUUGUACACGGCAGCGGAGACCUAAAGUGAAAAGGUUUUAUAAAACCCAGCUGAAGGCCUAGGACUGGGGCAACGGCAUGCGUGCCCACAGAGAGGGCUCUGAGUGCCGCCUCUGGCACCCGUGCCAUAGGUUUGUUACCACUGCUUUAGGCAAAACGGUCAGGCAAGUCCAGUGGCAGCAGAAUCUACUGUAGCCAUGACCUGGGGAUAGAUCACCCCAUUGUAAGUGUUCGAGGAGCACCUCAAGGUGAGGGUCAUGCCCUCAAGUGUUAUCUCUUGCAGCCUCAUUUACAAGGGUUUUUUUUGUUCCCUCAUCAAUGACACUUGGCAGAAAAUAAGGUUAUGUCAUUUCUGAAGCUUUUUCUAGCUGCUGGUGAUUUACAGAUUGAGCUCUGAGUGUGCCAUUUUGAUGUUUGAACUUUGGGCUUUUAUUUAAGCUACAUGAAGUAAAGGUAUGUUCCUUUUAUUUUCACCCCUAGCUGAUAUUGUGCAUUGGAGUUUCCUUGUGUGUAUGAAAAAAAUAGUGCUUUAAUCGUUUGUUAAAUUUGGCAGGUGCUAUUUUAUUCAAGAUUAGAAAUGAUGAUGGUGUUGUGGACACUUGAAUACAAGUUUUGGAUUUGGUGCAUUACUGUGGGUAUUUUUGGACGUUAUGAAACUGCUCUUUAGAAUUGUAUUCCAGUGGUUUAUGGUUACUUUCUUUCUCUUGAACCUGUCAUUGAAUUUUUGCUACUUUAAUUAGUUUGCUUCCUGAUUUUUCUAUGUCUUUGGGCAUAGUAAUAUCCACUGUUGCUUAAUGUUUUUUCUUUUUCUUUAUUGUACAUGCACAUUCUUCUAUGCAUUCCUUGUGCACAUGCUUCUAUGCACUCUUCAUAGGGCAGAGUUCCAUUUCUCUUUUUGUCCAUAUUUUAUUUCAUUGGGUUCUGUGUUCUCUACAUUGGGGGAAGGAAGAGUUCCUGGUGGCAUAAGGAAUCCUUUGUGGCACACCCCCAGAGUAGACCUGCUGUAUAUCCAGUUAUCCCAAUGUGUACAUUUUGUCUGCUUUUUCAAUGCUUAUGGGUGCGGUGUCACUCAUUUUGUCUAAAUGUAUUUAUUGUUCUGUGUAAUAUUUGUAACCCUUGUCUGUAUCUGUGUCUCCAUUGCUGACAUGUAAUUGCCUUCAGAUUGUGUCAAAUGCUACCUUCCUUGUAGAUAAGGGUCAGUUUAUUUGCUGGGGUGGCACAAUUCAUGAUCACUGCUAUUGAGGGACUGGGCCCCUUCUGUAGAUAAGGACUAUCUAUGUUGGCAGGGCUCAGUCUUCCUCUAUUUCCCCUGGACAAUUGUGACAAUUGCCCAGGUGAAAGUUAAAAAAAAAUAAAGUAAAAAAAUGGGAGAAGAAAGCAAAUAAAUGAAUCAACUACAUAAGAACAUUGUAGGCCCUCAACCAUGCCCUCAACCAUGAUUAAAUGCAGUAUGUCUUGAGAUUGAUGGAUGGAUGCAUGGUUGAGAGAUAACAGAGUGUAACCAUAAGCAUUUUAGCCUGAAUUGGACAGAUUAGUGGCCCACGUCCACUCACGUAUGUAUAAACUUUGCUUAGCUUUUUUGUUCUUUUGAUUUAAUUUGUGGUCUCUUUAUUCUAUAAUGGGACAUUCCCAGCCUAAGAGAGGGGAGAUUCCUAAAAAGGAUAACCUGGCAUGGUAUAUAUAUAUGUUCAUAAGAGACCUAGAUUCUGUCAAUACUUGCAGCAAUGGCAUGUGCUUGCCACACAAGAACCUAGUUGUCCGUUUCCCCUUGCUGGAACUUUUGACAGAAACAAACUUAAUUUUUGCAAAGUUGUCUGGAUGCUGUUGAUGUCUUCCUCAAACCGGGCAAUUGGUCUGCUUUUGUGGUUUGUUAUGCAGAAAUGGAAAAGUGGUGUAGGGAAUAGCAUUUGCAAUCCUUUAAACAUACCAAGGAAAAACUGGAAAGAUCAUUUAUUGACCUUAAGGCCUCUAUCACAGUUGUUCAGGUUGCCCUAAUGUCCAUAAGAAUGAUUCUUUCUCAACAGACUGGACUCUCUCCACAUGGGUUAUUAGUGAGCAGACCCAUAUGGAUGCCAGCCUCUCCCUCGACAUUUGUAUAUCUAAAAGAUAUUCAUAAUAUGUUAGCCGCUGUUAUGUUGGACUCUUGCCAAGCUCGUCUCACAUCUCUUAAAGAUUGCCAUUCACAGCUUGCAGCAGUUAUGCCCAAGGAACCAUUAUACCCCUAUCAUUCAUUGAAAGUUGAUGAUUGGGUUCUGACAAAAGUAUUUCGGUAUAAGAAUUGUUGGGCUCCUCAUUGGAAGGGACCGUUCCAGAUCCUGUGGACCACCAACACUGCUGUGAAGUGUCAAGAUAUGAUCUCGUAAGUACAUGCUUUGCGCUGUAUGAAGGCACCAGGCCCAGACGAGGAAGCUGCGCAACCCCAGCCAUCCAAAUCCAGCAAGGCAAAGACUGAAGCUUUAUCCAACAAGGGGAGUAAGUGCUAGUAACCCUCUAUUCCCCACCAACGUAUAACCUCUGCCCCAGGCUAACUGACAAGAAAUGAGCCUCGAUAUGCCCUCCUCAGGCAACUGAAGACCUUUACAACACCUUUUCCAACAUAAUGGAAGCCCAGAGGCACAUGAAGGAAACACUUUGCAUAAGAGGAUGCCUCAUACCUAUUGUAUGACCUAUGAUUGAGUUGCUGUUUAUUGCCACUUGUUUUAAUUUGUAUAACACUGUGAUGCCCUCCUAUGUUAAUGUAAUGUAUGUUUUACUCUAUUACUGAUGCUAAUGGUGGUGUUAUCCUAAAGGACAAGAAGUGGGGACCGUAAAAGGAAAAAAUAUCUUAAUAAUUCUUUCUGUAUAAAUCAAAUAUAUUUCUUUGAUGGUCAAUUAAAAUAAAGGUUGUAACGAGAAAAUACGAGAAUUAAGGAACUGAGCCUUGUUCACGGAUACAAUGACACAUGUACAAACGGUAGUGAGGAAAGUAGAGGUUAGAGCAAGGACAAGGAACAACAAGAAACUGGCUUGGUAGCCAGGGCAACAGAACAAGAAUAAGGAACCAACCCAGGAAUAGGGAACUAGGCUGGAGGCCAGUUCCAAGAAAAGGGAAUUAAGAAAGCUGCUGUUCCAGAAAGACACAUGUUGAUGGUUUUAACAUGAAAAGGGAAAUGGGAGGAACAUUGGAUGGUUCCAGAAUAUCAGGGAUGGGCAUACUGCUAAGGUAUAAAGCCUGCCUCAAAGAUCUGGGUAUUGCCAUUUGGCCAUAGCCAUCACAUUUAAUGACUGCUGUCCAUUUGGUCCUUAUUGCAAUAAGUUGUUGAAAUGUAAGUACUGACUUUGUGUGUCAAAUUUAAAUAAACCUCUGGAUCCUAAAGUGA